rnacentral:sRNA from 1 species
AGUUCGGCCCCCUGUUGGGGGUAUCUCUGUUAAGGAGCAUUUUGAGGUAAAUGUGGUGCCUCUCACCAUCCAGCUGACACACCAGUUCUUCCAUAGAAUGAUGGGCUUUUUCUUUCCUGGCCGAAGUGUGGAAGAUGAGGAAGUUGGUGAUGAAGAGGAUAAGUCCAAACUGGUGACUACUGGAAUACCAGUGGUGAAGCCUCGGCAGCUGAUUGCAACAGACGAUGCAGUACCACUGGGCCCUGGGAAGGGUGUGGCACAGGGUUUGACUCGGAGUUCUGGGGUCAGAAGGUCAUUUCGCAAAUCGCCAGAGGUACCAAACAUGCCCCUGAUGAUAGAAAAAUGGGAGAGUCUUGAGGUCCUGUUUGGUGUGGCUUGGGAUUUCUUCGGUUUCCUCUAAGUCCAUUCUAGGGAUAAAAGAAGAGGGAGAUG